UGGGGAAUUUUGGACAAUGGGCGAAAGCCUGAUCCAGCAAUGCCGCGUGUGUGAAGAAGGCCUUCGGGUUGUAAAGCACUUUUGUCCGGAAAGAAAUCCUUGGCUCUAAUACAGUCGGGGGAUGACGGUACCGGAAGAAUAAGCACCGGCUAACUACGUGCCAGCAGCCGCGGUAAUACGUAGGGUGCAAGCGUUAAUCGGAAUUACUGGGCGUAAAGCGUGCGCAGGCGGUUUGCUAAGACCGAUGUGAAAUCCCCGGGCUCAACCUGGGAACUGCAUUGGUGACUGGCAGGCUAGAGUAUGGCAGAGGGGGGUAGAAUUCCACGUGUAGCAGUGAAAUGCGUAGAGAUGUGGAGGAAUACCGAUGGCGAAGGCAGCCCCCUGGGCCAAUACUGACGCUCAUGCACGAAAGCGUGGGGAGCAAACAGGAUUAGAUACCCUGGUAGUCCACGCCCUAAACGAUGUCAACUAGUUGUUGGGGAUUCAUUUCCUUAGUAACGUAGCUAACGCGUGAAGUUGAUCCGCCUGGGGAGUACGGUCGCAAGAUUAAAACUCAAAUGAAUUGACGGGGUCAUAGCUGUUUCCU
rnacentral:rRNA from 1 species